rnacentral:rRNA from 1 species
AUUGAACGCUGGCGGCAGGCCUAACACAUGCCAGUCGAGCGGAUGAAGGGAGCUUGCUCCUGGAUUCAGCGGCGGACGGGUGAGUAAUGCCUAGGAAUCUGCCUGGUAGUGGGGGAUAACGUCCGGAAACGGGCGCUAAUACCGCAUACGUCCUGAGGGAGAAAGUGGGGGAUCUUCGGACCUCACGCUAUCAGAUGAGCCUAGGUCGGAUUAGCUAGUUGGUGGGGUAAAGGCCUACCAAGGCGACGAUCCGUAACUGGUCUGAGAGGAUGAUCAGUCACACUGGAACUGAGACACGGUCCAGACUCCUACGGGAGGCAGCAGUGGGGAAUAUUGGACAAUGGGCGAAAGCCUGAUCCAGCCAUGCCGCGUGUGUGAAGAAGGUCUUCGGAUUGUAAAGCACUUUAAGUUGGGAGGAAGGGCAAUAAGUUAAUACCUUGCUGUUUUGACGUUACCAACAGAAUAAGCACCGGCUAACUUCGUG